rnacentral:rRNA from 1 species
UCUAGAUUUCUGGUGUGAUAGUGUAACCCGGCGUGGGGUUCUUUUUUGCUGGUUUUUAAGACCUGCUGAAGGCUUUCCGUGGAUUGCCUGGGGCAUCACCUCGCAUUCAUACUCCCCCUGUUCUUGGAUUGAUUGAGACUACCUACUGCGCCGAACGUGGCCAAGGAUGUUUUCAUUAGAUCCGAACGAAGGUUAGGGGAGGAAGACAAUCAGAUACCGUCUGAUCCUUUUCCAUCCCCUAUGUCUACUACCUGACGGACGGUGUUAUUUUUUGACCAUGCUUUCGCCUUACGAGAAAUUCAAGUGCUUGGGCUCUUCACCGAUGAGGUUGCAUGGCUGAAACCCCGACUGUUGACGGAAGGGCACCACGCGGGGCGGAGCCUGCGGCUUAAUUUGACUCACCACCUAUUAACUCUUCCAUGCAGAAAUCGGAUCCC